GAUGAAGAACGCAGUGAAACGCGAUAAGUAAUGUGAAUUGCAGAAUUCCGUGAAUCAUCGAAUCUUUGAACGCACAUUGCGCCCCCUGGCAUUCCGGGGGGCAUGCCUGUCCGAGCGUCAUUUCUGCCCUCAAGCACGGCUUGUGUGUUGGGUGUGGUCCCCCCGGGGACCUGCCCGAAAGGCAGCGGCGACGUCCGUCUGGUCCUCGAGCGUAUGGGGCUCUGUCACUCGCUCGGGAAGGACCUGCGGGGGUUGGUCACCACUAUAUUUUACCACGGUUGACCUCGGAUCAGGUAGGAGUUACCCGCUGAACUUAAGCAUAUCAAUAAGCGGAGGA
rnacentral:misc_RNA from 1 species